GGCGGACGGGUGAGUAACACGUAGGUGACCUGCCAUCGAGUGAGGGAUACCAGCGAGAAAUCGCUGACAAGACCGCAUACGUUCUCCCCCCCAAAGGGAGAAGAAAGUCGAAAGACGCUCGAUGAGGGGCCUGCGCCCGAUUAGCCAGUUGGUGGGGUAAAGGCCUACCAAAGCGACGAUCGGUAGCUGGUCUGAGAGGACGAGCAGCCACACUGGGAUUGAGAACGGCCCAGACUCCUACGGGGGGCAGCAGUGAGGAAUUUUCGUCAAUGGGGGCAACCCUGAACGAGCAACGCCGCGUGCAGGAAGACGCUUUUCGGAGUGUAAACUGCUUUUCUCUGGGACGAGACAAAGGACGGUACCAGAGGAAGAAGCCCCGGCUAACUACGUGCCAGCAGCCGCGGUAAUACGUAGGGGGCAAGCGUUGUCCGGAGUUACUGGGCGUAAAGGGCACGCAGGCGGUCUUCCAAGUUUUCGGUGACAGUGCCCGGCUUACCUGGGCAAGGACCGGAAAAACUGGGAGACUUGAGGACUUGAGAGGGACACGGAAUUCCGGGUGGAGUGGUG
rnacentral:rRNA from 1 species